UGAUAACUAAGAAUUUCUCCUUAUACUAUCUAUCACUUAUGAAAUACGGUUUCAAGGGACUAUCAAUCAUUAAUAAACUCAAUUGUAAAUAAAUAUACAAUAAGACAAACUUAUCAAAAUUUCCUCUUAAAUUAAGAUAAAUAGUAUGGAUUAAGUUAUUGUCUUAAUUGUAAUUGAAAUAAUUAUAUAUGCAGACGUGGAAUUAAUUUAAGUCAAUUAGUUUAACUCCUCUCAUCUUCAAGGUGGCUUGAAAUGGUCUCCCUUCUUAAUUUACUCAUAAUAUCAACUCCACCUUCUGAAAUCACAGCCGUUGAUAAGGUCGUGAAUGAUUUGGUUUUCCACAUGGUGGAAAGAGAUAUUUUCUUUGCGAUGUAAAAAAGAGAAAGAUGAUUAAUGUGCCCAUGACAGGACCACCCAACAAUGCCGAGACAGCUAGUUAACUAUCAGUCUCCGUAUUUAGUUCAGUAUCAAUUAGUGUAGUGUUGGAUUUUUUUUUUUUUUUCUUCAGUGUUUUUGUUAUUCAACAUCACUUCUUUGCA
rnacentral:misc_RNA from 1 species